UUGCGAGGUCCUGGAAUAUGAGCUUUAUAUUCUUUGACUGAAGGUACUAUGCUUCAUAAAAUUACAAUUUUUACCAGAUCAAAGAAUUUUGGGGGCAAACCUAGUGUACUGCCCCCUGGUGAUUGUGAAGCAGUUGAACGUGCCGGUUUGUCUCCGUUGCUGGGCGUGGGCUUGGGGCAGGUGAGGAGACGGGGUGGCAUUUAAUGAGCCCCAUCUGAGCCUGGUUGCAGUUUGAAAGAGCUGCACCACUAACUGAGGGCGGGGCCAGCCAGUAACUCCUCCCCCUAUGCUGGGGGAGUGGCCAACCCCAUUUAGGAGAGCUGUACCUCUAACUGAAGGUGGGGUCUGCCAGUAACUCCUCCCCCUAUACUGGGGGAGUGGCCAACCUCAUUUGGAAGAGCUGUAGCUCUAACUGAAGGUGGGGUCUGCCAGUAACUCCUCCCCCUAUACUGGGGGAGUGGCCAACCUCAUUUGGAAGAGCUGUCGCUCUAACUGAAGGUGGGGUCUGCCAGUAACUCCUCCCUCUAUACUGGGGGAGUGGCCAACCUCAUUUGGAAGAGCUGUAGCUCUAACUGAAGGUGGGGUCUGCCAGUAACUCCUCCCCCUAUACUGGGGGAGUGGCCAACCUCAUUUGGAAGAGCUGUAGCUCUAACUGAAGGUGGGGUCUGCCAGUAACCCCCCCCCACUGCCCCCCCCCACUCGCUAGGCCAUGGCCACGGAACCUCUGUAUCAGAGAGCCCCGGGGGCGGGGCCAGUGAGCUUGGGGGCGGGGCUAGUGAGCCGCUGCCCGGGAGGGGAAGCUGCGCGGAUGCUAGGCUUUGAGCGCGUGGCGGGUUGAGGGCUCAGAAGCGCCACCGUGUGGCGGCUACAGUGGCCUCGCGUGCUCACAGAGCGCAACCGGUGACGACGGCCGCAAAGCUUUUCCCCCGAUGGGGACGGGGGGGGGGCUCGGCAGCGACCCCUCCCUCGGCAAGCACGCUCGUGACACGCCCUUUUUCCAAAAACGAGAGAGGAGUCCGGGCGAAGGGGGCCGCAGAGUCUACUGAAAACACAACGUUCACCUCGCGCAAGAUCAAGCUGAAUGUCCUUCGUAAGUGCCGCACAACAAGCUCUUAACCUUCACCGGGGGGAGGGUCGUCCGUUUGGGAAGAGGCGCGUCAGUAUUCAAUAAGGAAAACAUGUGGUUUCACCCGUUCAAAUCAAUCGUUUGUUUAAAUAUUCAAUUUGUAGUUUUUAUUUUUAUUUAAUUUUUUUGUUUUUAAGUUGGGCUACUUGAUUAUUGCCAUUUCUGGUUUCGUUGUCUUCAGCACCAGGGCUGCAGGCGUUCAAGUGCAUGCUGGGAUAGCAGCUCCACACGGGGACCCAGAGCCUAAACCUUGGGGCCUUUAACCAUCGUCUUUCCCCCCCCCCCUCUCUCCUCGACUUUCUUUUCGUUUAUCGGCUCCUCAGUAUUCAUCAGUGUCCAGGAGACGCAGACCUCCACUCAUGGAAACCCGUGCAGUCAACCCUGGUUUAUACGCCAUGCUAGAAACACAAGGAUAAAGCGAAGAGCUGAAGGAAUUGUACUGCCCUCCGCAGGUCUGGAAAAGAACUAAAUCUUAAAUAAAAGAGAAAACACUUGAGA